rnacentral:rRNA from 1 species
UAGAGUUUGAUCAUGGCUCAGGAUGAACGCUAGCGGGAGGCUUAACACAUGCAAGUCGAACGGUAACAGAUCCGCUUGCGGAUGCUGACGAGUGGCGAACGGGUGCGUAACGCGUAUGCAACCUGCCCUUUACUGGAGAAUAGCCCAGAGAAAUUUGGAUUAAUACUCCAUAGUACUACAAAUUCGCAUGUUUUUGUAGUUAAAGUUCCAACGGUAAAGGAUGGGCAUGCGUGACAUUAGUUUGUUGGUGAGGUAACGGCUCCCCAAGACUACGAUGUCUAGGGGUUCUGAGAGGAUGAUCCCCCACACUGGUACUGAGACACGGACCAGACUCCUACGGGAGGCAGCAGUGAGGAAUAUUGGACAAUGGACGCAAGUCUGAUCCAGCCAUCCCGCGUGCAGGAAGACGGCCCUAUGGGUUGUAAACUGCUUUUAUAUAGGAAUAAACCCCUCUACGUGUAGAGGGCUGAAUGUACUAUAAGAAUAAGCACCGGCUAACUCCGUGCCAGCAGCCGCGGUAAUACGGAGGGUGCAAGCGUUAUCCGGAUUUAUUGGGUUUAAAGGGUCCGUAGGCGGAUUAGUAAGUCAGUGGUGAAAGCCUUCAGCUUAACUGGAGAACUGCCAUUGAUACUGCUAAUCUUGAGUUCGGUUGAAGUGGGCGGAAUAUGUGGUGUAGCGGUGAAAUGCAUAGAUAUCACAUAGAACACCUAUUGCGAAGGCAGCUCACUAAACCGAUACUGACGCUCAGGGACGAAAGC